rnacentral:rRNA from 1 species
UGAGUUUGACCUUGGAUCAGAUUGAACGCUGGCGGCAUGCCUUACACAUGCAAGUCGAACGGCAGCACGGGUGCUUGCACCUGGUGGCGAGUGGGGAACGGGUGAGUAAUACAUCGGAACAUGUCCUGUAGUGGGGGAUAGCCCGGCGAAAGCCGGAUUAAUACCGCAUACGGUCUACGGAUGAAAGCGGGGGACCUUCGGGCCUCGCGCUAUAGGGCUGGCCGAUGGCUGAUUAGCUAGUUGGUGGGGUAAAGGCCUACCAAGGCGACGAUCAGUAGCUGGUCUGAGAGGACGACCAGCCACACUGGGACUGAGACACGGCCCAGACUCCUACGGGAGGCAGCAGUGGGGAAUUUUGGACAAUGGGCGAAAGCCUGAUCCAGCAAUGCCGCGUGUGUGAAGAAGGCCUUCGGGUUGUAAAGCACUUUUGUCCGGAAAGAAAUCCUUGGCUCUAAUACAGUCGGGGGAUGACGGUACCGGAAGAAUAAGCACCGGCUAACUACGUGCCAGCAGCCGCGGUAAUACGUAGGGUGCGAGCGUUAAUCGGAAUUACUGGGCGUAAAGCGUGCGCAGGCGGUUUGCUAAGACCGAUGUGAAAUCCCCGGGCUCAACCUGGGAACUGCAUUGGUGACUGGCAGGCUAGAGUAUGGCAGAGGGGGUUAGAUUUCCACGUGUAGCAGUGAAAUGCGUAAAGAUGUGGAGAAUACCGGAUGGCGAGGGCAGCCCCCUGGGCCAAUACUGACGCUCAUGCACGAAAGCGUGGGGAGCAAACAGGAUUAGAUACCNUGGUAGUCCACGCCCUAAACGAUGUCAACUAGUUGUUGGGGAUUCAUUUCCUUAGUAACGUAGCUAACGCGUGAAGUUGACCGCCUGGGGAGUACGGUCGCAAGAUUAAAACUCAAAGGAAUUGACGGGGACCCGCACAAGCGGUGGAUGAUGUGGAUUAAUUCGAUGCAACGCGAAAAACCUUACCUACCCUUGACAUGGUCGGAAUCCCGCUGAGAGGUGGGAGUGCUCGAAAGAGAACCGGCGCACAGGUGCUGCAUGGCUGUCGUCAGCUCGUGUCGUGAGAUGUUGGGUUAAGUCCCGCAACGAGCGCAACCCUUGUCCUUAGUUGCUACGCAAGAGCACUCUAAGGAGACUGCCGGUGACAAACCGGAGGAAGGUGGGGAUGACGUCAAGUCCUCAUGGCCCUUAUGGGUAGGGCUUCACACGUCAUACAAUGGUCGGAACAGAGGGUUGCCAACCCGCGAGGGGGAGCUAAUCCCAGAAAACCGAUCGUAGUCCGGAUUGCACUCUGCAACUCGAGUGCAUGAAGCUGGAAUCGCUAGUAAUCGCGGAUCAGCAUGCCGCGGUGAAUACGUUCCCGGGUCUUGUACACACCGCCCGUCACACCAUGGGAGUGGGUUUUACCAGAAGUGGCUAGUCUAACCGCAAGGAGGACGGUCACCACGGUAGGAUUCAUGACUGGGGUGAAGUCGUAACAAGGU